GGUUAUUUCUUCAAUCUUUUUUAAAAUAGUGUCUUCUCAUUUUUCCCAUGUAUUAUAGCAUAGUUUGUAUUUUAUAACAUUCAUUACUCAGAUUGACAAAAGCUGCCCUACCUCCCCACUGAUAACCUUUAAAAUUUAAUUCUCUUGGCCCUAGGGAAAAAACACUAGCUUGCAAACUGGAUUUACAGUAGUAUUCCUUUCUCUGGGUUUCACUUUCUGUGGUUUCAGUUAACCGGAGGUCAACUGCAGUCUGGAAGCAGGCGAUCCUUCUGACCUGUCGUCAGACGGUCAGUAGCCUAGUGCUACGUCACAAUGCCUGCAUCAUUUACUUCUCUUCGUCUCAUCACAUAAGCAUUUUGACAUCACAUUAUCACAGGAGGGGAGUCUGAAGCCUUCACCAGAUUGCCCAAGGAAUUAGUGUCAUAAAAACAAUUAA